GAACGGGUGAGUAACACGUGGGUGAUCUGCCCUGCACUUUGGGAUAAGCCUGGGAAACUGGGUCUAAUACCGGAUAUGACCAAACAUCGCAUGGUGUUUGGUGGAAAGCUUUUGCGGUUGGGGAUGGCCCGCGGCCUAUCAGCUUGUUGGUGGGGUAAUGGCCUACCAAGGCGACGACGGGUAGCCGACCUGAGAGGGUGAUCGGCCACACUGGGACUGAGACACGGCCCAGACUCCUACGGGAGGCAGCAGUGGGGSSUAUUGCACAAUGGGCGCAAGCCUGAUGCAGCGACGCCGCGUGAGGGAUGACGGCCUUCGGGUUGUAAACCUCUUUCACCAGGGACGAAGCGUGAGUGACGGUACCUGGAGAAGAAGCACCGGCCAACUACGUGCCAGCAGCCGCGGUAAUACGUAGGGUGCGAGCGUUAUCCGGAAUUACUGGGCGUAAAGAGCUCGUAGGCCGUUUGUCGCGUCGUCUNUGAAAUUCUGCAGCUUAACUGUAGGCGUGCAGGCGAUACGGGCAGACUUGAGUACUACAGGGCAGACUGGAAUUCCUGGUGUAGCGGUGAAAUGCGCAGAUAUCAGGAGGAACACCGGUGGCGAAGGCGGGNCUCUGGGUAGUAACUGACGCUGAGGAGCGAAAGCGUGGGUAGCGAACAGGAUUAGAUACCCUGGUAGUCCACGCCGUAAACGGUGGGUACUAGGUGUGGGCUCCUUUCACGAGAUCCGUGCCGUAGCUAACGCAUUAAGUACCCCGCCUGGGGAGUACGGCCGCAAGGCUAAAACUCAAAGGAAUUG
rnacentral:rRNA from 1 species